AAUCAACGCUGGCGGCGUGCCUCAGACAUGCAAGUCGAACGCGAAAGUUCCCUUCGGGGGGCGAGUAGAGUGGCGCACGGGUGAGUAACACGUAGGUAAUCUACCUUUGGGUGGGGAAUAACAGCCGGAAACGGCUGCUAAUACCGCAUAAUGCAGCGGCUCGACAUCGAGACAGUUGUUAAAGCGGGGGAUCGCAAGACCUCGCGCCUAAAGAGGAGCCUGCGGCGGAUUAGCUUGUUGGUGAGGUAAUGGCUCACCAAGGCAUCGAUCCGUAGCCGGCCUGAGAGGGCGGUCGGGCCACACUGACACUGACAUACGGGUCAGACUCCUACGGGAGGCAGCAGUCGGGAAUUUUGGGCAAUGGGCGCAAGCCUGACCCAGCAACGCCGCGUGAAGGAUGAAAUCCCUCGGGAUGUGAACUUCGCAAGAACAGGAAGAA
rnacentral:rRNA from 1 species